GCAGGAAUGGCGGAAUGGCAGACGCGCACGGUUCAGGUCCGUGUGAGCAUUAGCUCAUGAGAGUUCAAGUCUCUUUUCCUGCA
rnacentral:tRNA from 1 species